rnacentral:misc_RNA from 1 species
AACGCACAUUGCGCCCCUUGGUAUUCCAUGGGGCAUGCCUGUUCGAGCGUCAUUUGUACCCUCAAGCUUUGCUUGGUAUUGGGCGUCUGUUCUCCACUUGGGGGACUCGCCUUAAAACAAUUGGCAGCCGGCAUAUUGGCCUGGAGCGCAGCACAAUUUGCGCCCCUUGUCAUGCUUGUUGGCAUCCAUCAAGACCUUUUAUCAGCUCUUGACCUCGGAUCAGGUAGGGAUACCCGCUGAACUUAA